rnacentral:rRNA from 1 species
CCAGACUCCUACGGGAGGCAGCAGUGGGGAAUAUUGCACAAUGGGGGGAACCCUGAUGCAGCGACGCCGCGUGGGCGAGGAAGUAUUUCGGUAUGUAAAGCCCUAUCGGCAGGGAAGAAGAAAUGACGGUACCUGAAUAAGAAGCACCGGCUAAAUACGUGCCAGCAGCCGCGGUAAUACGUAUGGUGCAAGCGUUAUCCGGAUUUACUGGGUGUAAAGGGAGCGUAGGCGGUUAGAUAAGUCUGAUGUGAAAGCCCACAGCUUAACUGUGGGAUUGCAUUGGAAACUAUAGAACUAGAGUGUCGGAGAGGUAAGUGGAAUUCCUAGUGUAGCGGUGAAAUGCGUAGAUAUUAGGAGGAACACCAGUGGCGAAGGCGGCUUACUGGACGAUGACUGACGCUGAGGCUCGAAAGCGUGGGGAGCAAACAGGAUUAGAUACCCGUGUAA